CGUCCGUCUGCUAAAACAAACAGCUGAGAUGCAAACAUUACUCGUCAAGUUGUUUCUCUAUUUACAUAUAUUUCAAAAAUGUUGAAAGAGGCAGGAUAGUGGAGCAAGAUGCCGAUACAACGGGAACAUGUUCAGUUUGCUAUAAUAUUUUUGAGCCUGCCAUUGCAACUGUUUCUAACCAACUAUAUGGGUAGCAAUGAAGCAUCUAGAACAUACGCCAUCAGCAAAAUUGUGACACAGUUAAGUGAACUAAAGGACUCCUGGUUUAAGUUGGAUAACUGGAAGAUCUGGUGCUCUAAUAUGCUUUUUGACCAGCUUAUUGGAGGUUGGGCAGAUAUAGAUCUUGAGGAUCCUAAUGGAGAAUGUCCUGCAGUUGAGGUGUUUAAGUACAGGGACAAGAACGGACACUUUGGCCAGAGCCCGGAUCCAAGAGAAACAAGACCACCUGCUGUCAAGUAUAGAGUAGGUCAAGUGAUGAAGCAUGCAAGAUGGGGGUAUAGAGGUGUUAUUAUUGGCUGGGACGAGGAAGCUCGGGCCCCUGACUUCUGGUUAAAAGAGAUGCAUAAAGGAAAUAGGGGAUGGAGUUCUCAACCUAAUUACGCAAUACUAGUGGAUACUAGGGAUAGGCCUGUACCUCAGAUAACAUAUGUACCACAGGAGAAUAUGGAGAUAGUAAAGCAUACCAAGAUUCUUCAUCCUUCCGUUGACGAUUAUUUCGAGCAUUUCGACGGUUCUCAAUAUCUGCCCAGACCCUGGCUCAGGGCUAUUUAUCGUCGAGAUUAGGAGACCGUGUAAUCUACCGGAGGUGUUGCAUUGCUACUAAACAAUUGAAAAUAUUUUUAAUUGUACAUAAAUCAUAUGAAAUAUCAAGCUUACCGGGUUUUUUAAUCAUAUAUAAAUCUGUGAUAUUUAGAAAAUAACUCCACAACCAAUUCGAUAAUAUGACAGAAUUAAAAAAGUCUGGCGGAAUAAAUAUUAAUAUAGAAACAGAUUUGAUAGCAGAAAUUGUGAUAACUUUGCCUGUUAACAUAAUUGUACUUCACUGGACAUUCUAGUACACUACAGUACACUACAGUACACUACAGUACAGUGUAAAUAACAUCAUAUGAUCAAGUACAGAAUAGUUGUUUUGAUUUUAAAUUGAACUUAAGCAA